rnacentral:rRNA from 1 species
CAGUCGCCGCGGGAAUACGUAGGUCCCGAGCGUUGUCCGGAUUUAUUGGGCGUAAAGCGAGCGCAGGCGGUUAGAAAAGUCUGAAGUGAAAGGCAGUGGCUCAACCAUUGUAGGCUUCGGAAACUGUUUAACUUGAGUGCAGAAGGGGAGAGUGGAAUUCCAUGUGUAGCGGUGAAAUGCGUAGAUAUAUGGAGGAACACCGGUGGCGAAAGCGGCUCUCUGGUCUGUAACUGACGCUGAGGCUCGAAAGCGUGGGGAGCGAACAGGAUUAGAUACCCGCGUAGUCCCUGUCUCUUAUACA